rnacentral:lncRNA from 1 species
AACUAGCUUGAAGAGUCACCAAUCAUUCAAAGAGGCCACCAUAAAGCUUUUCCCUUAACCUAUAGUAAAGAAGAAUAUGCCUCUCUUCCCUAUAUAAACCUAUAGGAAGUCUAACAUCAGCUGACUCUUCACUAUUACACCCACAAGAGGAGCCAGAUGAUAAGGGGAGAGAGGCUAGACUUUCUCCAACAUACUCUGCAAAGUUUUCGUUAAAAAUGGUUCAGAGUCUGACUUCUUUCUCAGAGCUAGACAGCUGUAGAUGCUAUCCGCUAUCUUGGGAAAUCAACAAAUACCGUCAGGAUGUCCUCUGUUAAUCCUGGUUGCAUAAUUUUUUAGUUCCGUGCCAUACCAUUUUGUGUUCAAGUCUUCAUGUGCACCUCACUCAGUCUUGUGCUUAGAAACAGGAAAACGCCGCUAAACAAGACAAAUGGAAAUUAUGCAGAAUGAUCCCAGCAGGAUCAAAUGCGAUACGGUAGGUCCAGCUUGAGAGUGAGUAAUGAUGAGCAUAGUAAUGAGGGAACAAGUAAGCCUCCCAAGGAAGCAGCAUGGAGAACCAGGAAGAAACAGGCCAUGUGGCAAAGCUUUUAGCAUAGUUUAUCCAGCUCAUUUCUCAUUAGCAAAAGCCCUGACAGGCCUGCUUUUGCUAUUGAGUUUGUUCCCCAAUUGCUGCUCUGCCUUAAAAUAUAUCUGGGGAGGUGAAGCCAGAAAGACAUGAACACUUGACUCCUGAGCCCCAGGCAUUAGGUUUGUGGCCUAAUCAGAGGUAUUUUGGCACUUGAGGUUCCCAUCUAGUGGCCUUCUCGUGUGGCUCCUUCUACAGAGGAAACUUCCCAAGAUUAACUGAUAUCAUUUUAACAGGCCAGUGAACCUCACUCACACUGGACCAAGUCUUUACAUAGAAAGGGCUGGUCAGGGGAAGGCUGGUGACUUUGUCUCCCAUGACUAGUCAUGAUGCCUGCUUUACAGGAGGUGAGAGCCUAGUGCAUAAUGAGCACACAGAACUGCCCAGCUCUGCUGGUGCCUUGUCUGGGUAAACACUUCUGUAGUUAGAGCAAGAAAUGUAGACCACACACACAC